GGCUGGCUCAAGUGCCGUGGUGUUCACAACUAAUCACAACCAGUUACAGAUUUGUUUCUUCUCCAUUCACACUGCUUCACUUGACCAGUCUAAA
ensembl:misc_RNA Y_RNA Y RNA